GAUGAACGCUGGCGGCGUGCCUAAUACAUGCAAGUAGAACGCCGACGGAGUAGCUUGCUGUUCUGGAUGAGUUGCGAACGGGUGAGUAACGCGUAGGCAACCUGCUCUGUAGUGGGGGAUAACUUUUGGAAACGAUAGUUAAUAUCGUAUGACAUCAGAUAUAGCAUGAUAACCGUUUAAAAUGGGCAACUGCUCCACUACAAUAUGGACCUGCGUUGUAUUAGCUAGUUGGUGAGGUAACGGCUCACCAAGGCGACGGUACAUAGCCGACCCGAGAAGGUGGACCACCACACUGGGAAUGGGGAACGGCCCAGGAUCCUACCGGAAGGAGCAGUAGGGGAUCAUCGGAAAUGGGCGGAAGUCUGGCCGAACAAAGCCGGCUGAGUGGAGGAAGUUUUCGGAGCGUAAAACUCUGUUGGAAGGGAAGGACGAGUAGGAGGUUAGAAAGUUCACGCUGUGACGGUACCUUACCAAAAAGCAACGGCUAACUACGUG
rnacentral:rRNA from 1 species